rnacentral:rRNA from 1 species
AUUGAACGCUGGCGGCACGCCUAACACAUGCAAGUCGAACGAGUGGCGGACGGGUGAGUAAUGUCUGGGCAACUGCCUGAUGGAGGGGGAUAACUACUGGAAACGAUAGCUAAUAACGCAUACCAUCGGAUGUGCCCAGAUGGGCUUAGCGAGUAGGUGGUGUAAAGGCUCACCUAGGCGACGAUCCCUAGCUGGUCUGAGAGGAUGACCGGCCACACUGGAAAUGUGACACGGUCCAGACUCCGACGGGAGGCAGCAUGGGGGAAUAUUGCACAAUGGGCUCAAGCCUGAUGGAGCCAUGCCGCGUGUAUGAAGAAGGCAUUCGGGUUGUAAAGUACUUUCAGCGGGGAGGCGUUACCCGCAGAAGAGGCACCGGCUAACGCCGUGCCAGCAGCCGCGGUAAUAC